AUUGAACGCUGGCGGCAUGCUUUACACAUGCAAGUCGAACGGCAACAGGCCUUCGGGUGCUGACGAGUGGCGAACGGGUGAGUAAUGCAUCGGAACGUACCCAGAGGUGGGGGAUAACGCAGCGAAAGCUGUGCUAAUACCGCAUGUGAUCUGAGGAUGAAAGCGGGGGACCGAGCAGCAAUGUUUGGCCUCGCGCCUUUGGAGCGGCCGAUGUCGGAUUAGCUAGUUGGUGGGGUAAAGGCCUACCAAGGCGACGAUCCGUAGCUGGUCUGAGAGGACGACCAGCCACACUGGGACUGAGACACGGCCCAGACUCCUACGGGAGGCAGCAGUGGGGAAUUUUGGACAAAGGGCGCAAGCCUGAUCCAGCAAUGCCGCGUGCGGGAAGAAGGCCUUCGGGUUGUAAACCGCUUUUGGCAGGAACGAAACGGUGUCCGCUAAUACCGGGCGCUAAUGACGGUACCUGCAGAAUAAGCACCGGCUAACUACGUG
rnacentral:rRNA from 1 species